rnacentral:rRNA from 1 species
UGUCUUUUUGAAAAUAAUAUAAAGUCUAAUCUGCCCACUGAUUUAAAUUAAAGGGCUGCAGUAUAUUGACUGUACAAAGGUAGCAUAAUCAUUAGUCAUUUAAUUGAUGACUUGUAUGAAAGAUUGGAUGAAAUAUAAACUGUCUCUCAAUUAAAAAUAGAAUUUAAUUUUUUAAUUAAAAAGUUAAAAUAAUUUAAAAAGACGAGAAGACCCUAUAGAGUUUUAUAAAUAAAUUAAUUAAGGUUAUUUAUUAAAAUUAAAAUUAAUUUAUUUAUUCUAUUGGGGUGAUAGAAAAAUAUAUUUAACUUUUUUUUUAUGAAAACAUUUAUAAGUGAUUAAAUGAUCCAUUAUUAAUGAUUAUAAGAAAAAAUUACCUUAGGGAUAACAGCGUAAUUUUUUUUUUUA